ACCAGCCUCACCAUCAAUUUGAAUGUGUGAGCUGUUGAAUUCCUGACGAGACGGCUCAUCACCACGAUCAAUGCUGGACCGUACACAGCAGGCCUCCGUUGGACGUCGCCCGCACAUUAAGGCAUGACAACAUCACACUUCGAAUCGUCAAGCAGAUUCUGGGAAGAAAAAGGCACCCCCUCUUGUGGGUGUAGGUUCCUCUGGAGGCGCACAGAGACCAGGAUGAGGCAACGGCUACUCGAGGUAAUUAGAGAGUCCCUUUCCUCAGGGAGAGAAGAGACCAGAGGACGGGGAUUCUUAUGUACAUGGGGCUAGCAGCCACAAUCUCAAGUCUGCCAUCUGCAAGGAUAAAUUGCCUGGGCCUUUUGAUGCCUUCAUUUUCAGUAUUUCAAGAGUGAGCUGGGUUACUCUGCCCUUUAUUGCCUCCACUACCUCCACUACACUAAGACUGAAUGUACUUUUAGUCAGUAGGAUACAACUGAACUCGAAUGAAUCGCAGGCCAACAAUAAGGAGGACACGUUUUAAUGCAGGAUUCAUAAUAGUGAGCCACAAAACACGUUCAGGUUUUUAUGUUGUCAUCUUGGUUGCUAUUUGUUAGCUUUGCUUUAUUCUGUCAUCGGUAUUGGCUACAAUAAUUAUGUCAUUUUCUAAAUUGAUGUGUAUAUAUAUAUUUACUGCAACAUACCACAAUUCACUAUACUUUACAGCAACCGGUUUUCUCUGCUGUUACAUUAUUUUUUCUCUGUAUCAUAAAUAUUUUACACAUGUACUUUCUCCAUGAACAUAGUAACUGUGUAUAUUAAUAUUUAAACAUAUUUAAUGUAUCAUUUAACUCAGUACACAUUUAGCCAUUUAUGAUGCCGAGAUAACAGUGAGUGGGGGCUUGAAAUGGAAAAUAAUAAUUAGACCAGUUGUGUUUUCUACAUACAGACAGAUGUAAAUACUAUGUAAAGAAAAAAACAGGAAAAAAGAAAACAGGACAGGAAGCUCAUUUCAGAAAUUUGUAUACGCAAAUGAGAGAGUCAGUUUGUGCUCGUGUUUGUAAGGACUGAGGAACUGCUUCUUUUUCUCUGGAUGUCCAAGCUUUGAUGGAAACCAUGGAAACCAAGAUCUUUUGUCGUAAUGCUAACAAUGCAAGGCAUCUGCACAAAUUAUUUAAGUUUAGGAUUCAAUCCAAAGGCUCUCUACACUGAUCAGAAUGGAGCAGUUGUCAGGACCUGUGUCAUGUUAGGUCUGAUUUUACAAUAGAAGCUCCAUCUUCAGAACCCUCAUCACGAGGGUUUGACUAUAAUUGACCAAGCCCCUAAUCAAAUAUUUUGCUGGAAAGAGACAGAGGGCAUAUUUGUUAGCAUCACAGUGAUAAGUUAAUUAGUGAGUGGUUGUGAUCUUGAGAAAAGAACUGACCGAUAUCCCAGGUGGCAUCCCUGCUCGGAAUGCUGCUUUGACACAGUCAAAGACUAAUUACAUGAUCAAGACAUGAUCUACUUGUCUUAUAGGGUGACUGGGGUUAUGGGACUACAUGACAACAUGGCAACAGCACAAAUUAUAUCCAAAAGCAUUAGCUCAACAUGAACCAGACAAAACAUAUUGAUGCAUAAUUUUCAUCCUGACUUUCCUUGAAGACAAUCUAGUAAUCUCAACGGGGUGAACUGAAUAUAAUAUAAUAUAAGUGCCUCAUAUCUUUCAGUGUAAAUGAGAAAUAUAUAUUUUUUUAAACACUCUAAUCUACUGUUUUGUAUUUCACAGUGUAAAUGGGAGAUAUGUAUAUUUUGUACAUGUACAUUAUUCUUCUAAAUAGGGAUGUAUUUACAUGGCAAUAACCUCGGCGUGGACCAUGAGGAGCAGUGUGAAGCUUCAAGUGGCAGGCUGCUGGAGCCUGAAUAAACUCUAGAAUGUUCCCUUGG